UUUCAAAAGAACAAAUUUUAUUUAAAUUUUCUAUUGCGACAAAGAUUUAAUAAAUUUUGUUUUUAAACAAUAAACACUACUACGUCUUUCCCCCUCCGACCCUUUACUUUCCUAAUUACCAACGCAAUGUGCUGCAUAUAUAGGGGACAUCCCCUGCGUGUUGGUUACGUGAAAAAAAAAAACGUUGGCGCAUAAAAUGGAAAUGGAUUUUUGAGGUAUUUUCGACGACAACCUGAUUACUGAUAAGCCGAAGGACAUGGUAUGGAUUGACCCUGCGCCCUCUUCUUCAACAAAAACUGAACCUAUUUGGAUCAGAAGCACAGUUUUUGAAACGGAAAUCUUUACAAAUAGAGAUGUAUAACCUAACAAAAUAUGCUCCUUCAGGAAUGUCAUUUAACCAAACAUUUCAUGGUCUUUCGAUGGAAACAUCAAAUGGAAAGACAAAUCUUGAAAAAGGAUGUCAAGUUCACUUCAUUCGGCUAUAGAAUCAUAGAACCUGUACUAGUCACCUUUGUAUGUAAAUACCGGAAUCAACAAUAAGGGGACUGUGAGCUUAUAUUUUAUGUUAUUUGGAUAAACCAUAAUCCAGUAACAGAUUGCGGAAGGGAAGCAAACUGGGUAUCAGAGUUUUGCAAUCCCUAAGGGUCACAUAUUAUUCUGAAGGAGCAUCCCUUCAAAAUGCUGAAACGUUGGAGCACUAUUUGCCAGACAAUAAGAAGAGUUAAAGAGUCAUAGAAUGGAAACCAAAUGAGCAUUGUGUAGAGAUAGAGGUAGGACAAUUCAACGUAAACAAUUUAUAAUACAUUGUGAUACUACAGUAGCGACCGACUCGAACCCACCACUUGAGAACUCAGCUACCAGGGCUCUUAAAAGAAUUAUGUCUUGUUUGUCGAUGUCGCAGUCAAAUCUCGAAUUCAAACAAAAAAAAGUAUUUCGAUAUAUAGAUCCGUCAACGUCAAAAGAGCUACAAACUCAUCGAAAACGAAUACAAAAACCUUCUAGAUGGACGAAUGUGGAACAGAGUGACUGUCAUCCUCUCGCUUUUCAUUAAGGAUCACUCAACUUUUGGAUGAAAAGGUUGUUCAUUUAAACUCCCAACAAGUCUAAAUAUAUUUUAGAUGUAAGUCCAUGGAACAUGGGGUGGAUAAUUUCAAGUCCUAGUUUAAAAGUAAUCUUCAUGGAGUACCAACUAAUUAUUAUUAUAUACUCUUACUUGAUGUUUUCCUGAACACAAGAACACACAACAAAUUCGCACAACUUAAAUUAUAAUUUAUUAGCCUUACAUAUGAAAUGAAACAGAACAAAUCAACAUUGUGUGAUUUUUUUCACAAUUUUUUAAACAAAGUUUCCCCAAUAACCAUCAAACAUCAGAAUUUAUGAAUAACACUAUUCCUUGUCGUACAUCAACUGCCAAAUGCUAAACCAACAAAACAAAAAUCAAAAACACACAAAAACAUUUGGGAUAUUUGGAGCCCAUUUGCCGGUUUGCCGAAGACGGACAAGACAUUUUGACCCCUUGAAUGGUGAUGAAGAUGAAUAAGAUUUUUCUCUUGUCCGACACACACGUCCAACUCAAACAUUCUGGCUUGCGGUAGACUGAAGGUCUUCACAAAAUAUCUGAUGGACACACAUUAAGAACAACACCAAAAGCAAAUGAUGAUCCAUUCCGGAAUAUAUGGCAUGGUGUAGUGUUAUGCCUUGUGGUAUCCCCCCAAAAUUUCCCAAUGUCCCAAAACAAACAAACAAACCAUUUUGGUAAAUAAAAAGAAUGCCAAAAAAAAGCAGAAGUCUCUUUUCCAAA